GUCCUCGUGUUGGAUUAUCCCUAGGUUUUCAACUCGGUGCACACCCGGUUUCAUUACUGGGUUCACUGGGGCGAGGAUGCUUCUGUAUCAGGGGGCGUCGGUAGUAAACAACUGUGAGUAAAUCAAAGUGACCAAGGCAAGCUUCUCCUGCAGCAAUGUGGGGUUGCAUGUAUGCUUUAGCAUGGUAUUGUAAGCAUAAUUUAAAAUGGGAAACGGGCAGAAGGCUCUGGUAUUGUAUUGCUAGAGGUGAAAUUCAGAGAUCAAUACAAGACUCACUAGCGCGAAGGCAGUUAGGCCCAUAACAUUUCCGUUGAUCAGGAACGAAAGUUGGGGGAUCGAAGGUGAUUAGAUACCACCGUAGUCCUAACCGUAAACAAUACCGACAGGGGAUUGGAUGAUGAUACCUUUCUCCAGAUCCUUUCAGAACCUAAGGGAAACCGAAAGUUUUUAGGUUUUGGGGGGAGUAUGGUCGCAAGACUGAAACUUAAAAGAAUUGACGGAAGAACACACCAGAAGUGGAGUUUGCGGCUUAAUUCGACUCAACACGGGAAAACUCACCAAGACAGGAUAGCGAGCAGGAUUGACAGGUUAAAGUCCUUUCAUGAUUUCUUAUAUGGUGGUGCAUGGCCGUUCUUAGUACGUGGAUUGAUUCGUCUGGUUAAUUCCGAUAACGUACGAGACCUUAACUAUUAAUUAGGCAGUCGUUGGGGCAACCCUAAUGUUUCCACGGAAACCGACUCGCGC
rnacentral:rRNA from 1 species